UACAGAGGGUGCAAGCGUUGCUCGGAAUUAUUGGGCGUAAAGAGCUUGUAGGCGGUUUGUCGCGUCUGCUGUGAAAUCUCAAGGCUCAACCUUGAGCUUGCAGUGGGUACGGGCAGACUAGAGUGUGGUAGGGGGAGACUGGAAUUCCUGGUGUAGCGGUGAAAUGCGCAGAUAUCAGGAGGAACACCGGUGGGCGAAGGCGGGGU
rnacentral:rRNA from 1 species